rnacentral:rRNA from 1 species
GACGAACGCUGGCGGCGUGCCUAACACAUGCAAGUCGAACGGGGUAAUUUCUUCGGAGAUUACUUAGUGGCGAACGGGUGAGUAACGCGUGAGAAACCUGCCUCUCAGUGGGGGACAACAGUUGGAAACGACUGCUAAUACCGCAUAACAUAUUCGAAGGGCAUCCUUUGAAUAUCAAAGCUUUAUGUGCUGAGAGAUGGUCUCGCGUCUGAUUAGCUAGAUGGCGGGGUAACGGCCCACCAUGGCGACGAUCAGUAGCCGGUCUGAGAGGAUGAACGGCCACAUUGGGACUGAGAUACGGCCCAGACUCCUACGGGAGGCAGCAGUGGGGAAUAUUGGGCAAUGGGGGGAAACCCUGACCCAGCAACGCCGCGUGAAGG